UACAUGGGGUGCAAACGUUGCUCGGAAUUAUUGGGCGUAAAGCGCACGUAGGCGGCCUGAUAAGUCGGGUGUGAAAGCCCUGGGCUCAACCCAGGAAGUGCACUCGAAACUGUCAGGCUUGAAUAUGGAAGAGGGUCGCGGAAUUCCCGGUGUAGAGGUGAAAUUCGUAGAUAUCGGGAGGAACACCAGUGGCGAAGGCGGCGACCUGGGCCAAUAUUGACGCUGAGGUGCGAAAGCGUGGGGAGCAAACAGG
rnacentral:rRNA from 1 species